UACGUAGGGUGCAAGCGUUGUCCGGAAUUAUUGGGCGUAAAGAGCUCGUAGGCGGUUUGUCGCGUCUGCUGUGAAAAACCCGAGGCUCAACCUCGGGCCUGCAGUGGGUACGGGCAGACUAGAGUGCGGUAGGGGAGAUUGGAAUUCCUGGUGUAGCGGUGGAAUGCGCAGAUAUCAGGAGGAACACCAAUGGCGAAGGCAGAUCUCUGGGCCGUAACUGACGCUGAGGAGCGAAAGCGUGGGGAGCGAACAGG
rnacentral:rRNA from 1 species